rnacentral:rRNA from 1 species
GUCCCUACGGGAGGCAGCAGUGGGAAUAUUGGGCAAUGGAGGAAACUCUGACCCAGCAAUGCCGCGAGAAUGAAGAAGGUCUUCGGAUUGAAAAGUUCUUUAGUCAGGGAAGAAGUCAAUGACGGUACCUGAAGAAUAAGCUCCGGCUAACUACGUGCCAGCAGCCGCGGUAAUACGUAGGGAGCAAGCGUUGUUCGGAAUGACUGGGCGUAAAGGGUGCGGAGGCGGUUGUACAAGUUAGAAGUGAAAUACCCAGGGCUUAACUCGGGUGCUGCUUCUAAAAAUGUUUGACUUGAGUG